GCUGGCUAAUGUUCAGGCGAGCAUCGACCAACACUCCCAGGUCCUUUUCCUCUGCACAGCUUUCCAGCCACUCUGCCCCAAGCCUGUAGCACUGCAUGGGGUUGUUGUGGCCAAAGUGCAGGCCCCGGCACUUGGCCAUGAUGAACCUCAUCCCAUUGGCUUCUGCCCAUCUACCCAACCUGUCCAGAUCCUCCUGCAGAGCCUUCCUACCCUC